ensembl:snoRNA
CUGAAGUGAUGAACUUGUUUAUCCAUUCGCUGAGUGCUGCCGGGCCCUGGCAUUGCAGCCUCCUGUGUCUGUUCUUGACUCAGGGGGUACAGCGGCCUGACUCUAUGCUUUUGUCCCCAGUGUUCUAUUGGGGGUAACUGUUGGGGCAGGUGUGCUGAUGCGUGUGUCAAGGGCCCGGUCACAACUAAGACGAGCGUAAACUCCUGAUCAC